UACGAGAGGUCCAAGCGUUAGUCGGAAUCACUGGGCUUAAAGGGUGCGUAGGCGGGCUUGUAAGUGUUUUGUGAAAUCCCACGGCUCAACCGUGGAAUCGCAGGGCAUACUGCAAGCCUCGAGGAAGCUAGAGGCCGGUGGAACGAUAGGUGGAGCGGUGGAAUGCGCAGAUAUCAGGAAGAACACCCGUGGCGAAGGCGGCUCUCUGGGACGGUACUGACGCUGAGACGCGAAAGCGUGGGGAGCGAACAGG
rnacentral:rRNA from 1 species